CCCGGCUCUCCCACCGCCUGGCUCUCCUACCCCCGGGCUCUCCCACCCCCAUCUCUCCCACUGACGGGCUCUCCCACCGACGGGUUCACUCCUUGCAGGCAGGCGCCGGGUUUCACCUGCUGCCUACCACGGGCCAGCAGCUUCUCGGAGCCCCCGCCCCCUGUCUUUCUGCGGGGACGUAUUUCCUAGGAGAGGUCGCAGCCCCUGAGGCUCUGGCGUACCUGGAGGGGGUCCCUGGGGGCCCUCUGGGAUUUGCUCCUGUGCCCCCCCCAUCCUGGUCAGCUCAGCGGGGGAGGCUGAGCUCUGUGACACCCCCCCCUCCGUCAUCCCUGCGCAGGUGCUGUCAGCCGGGCUUGGGUGGGGGGACUUCCCUGGACGGUCCCUCACCGGCCUGUCUUCCUUCCCGCCACGUAUCAGCAGGGACGUCUCUCCACGCGCCCCUCUCCCCGCGGGCGGCCCCGUCUCUUCUCCCGCGGGCGGCCCCACAAUCUGUGUGCCGUGUGCACGAGGAGGCUGCCUCCCGGAGCCCGGGCACCGGAUGCCACGGCCUGGCCGGCGCUGCUGCAGCUCUGGUGCCCCCUCCCAGCAGGCGCCCGUUACACCCUGAUGCCCCCCAGUACCCUGAGGCCCCCGGCACCCCGAGUCGCCCAUCCCCCUGCACCCGAGGGCUUGCACAGGCGCCCCCCGCCUGGCGCCCUGCUACGGAGGGACGUGUCCGUGAUGCCCCCGCGUGUCCACAGAGCGCACCCCUCUACCUGUGUCCCCGCCCCCCGCAGCCCGGUGUGCGGGAGAGCUCCGGGGCGGCUGCAGUGUCACGUCGGGGGGGGGGGGCNGGGGCCUCGGGGUGUAAGAGGGGGAGCCCCGCACGACCCGGUGCAGGUGUGUCGGAGAGCUCCGGGGCUGCUGCCAGAAGCGCUUCCCGCUCGUGGAGCCGUGUCCUCGUGUCCCGUGGGUUCACAGCGGCGGUCAGAUUUUAUGUAUUUCUCCUGGAGAGACACAGAGAGGCCGAGGGAGAAGCAGGCCCCCUGCAUGGACCCCCACUGGACUGGAUCCGGGACCCGGGGUCACGCCCUGGUCGGCGCAGUUUCCAGACGUCCGUUUGGGGAGCAUCCCCACUGUCCCCACGGCCUUCUCCCGCGACAGGAGCCGGGGCAUGGAGGCCACAUCUGGGUCUCUGGGGAUGCGUUCCAGCCCCAGAGGUGGCCGCCUGCAGAGGAGCCCGUUGGGGCCCCAGGGCCUCGGGUCCGGGUGACACAGGCCGCAUUGUGCUGCUGCUGCUGCUGCAGUCCCGGCUGCCCCAAGGCCGGGAGUAGGAGGAGCAACGCGGGCGGCAGGAGAGUGUGUGCUGGAAGCAGCAGGGGCCGCCAAGGGACAUCCAGGCAGAGCACCAGAGAAGGGCAGGCACACUUGCCGUCGGAAGUGGCCAGAGAUGGGAGUCCUCUCCCUCCCCAGCUCACCAACCAUCACGACGGUCCUUCCAAACCCGACAGACGUGGAAAACUGAAGUGCAGGGAGGUUAAAGACCGCCCAGGAUCACACAGCUUCCGAGUCACCCCGGCUCUGAAGGUCCAGUAACACCUGCCAGAGUGGAAGGGCGCUGGGAAGAGUAACGAGCCCUAAUAACCAGCAGGAAUGGGGAGCAGGGAGCAGCUGCUUUCGCGGAGAUGAGUUUUACUCAUUACUCAGAGUCCCCUAAGGCCUGGCCGUGAAACACCCCUUCCUCCCGAGACACCUGCCGUGGCUCCCA
rnacentral:lncRNA from 1 species